rnacentral:rRNA from 1 species
CUCCUACGGGACGCAGUAGGGAAUAUUGCACAAUGGGGGAAACCCUGAUGCAGCAACGCCGCGUGAGUGAAGAAGUAUUUCGGUAUGUAAAGCUCUAUCAGCAGGGAAGAAGAAGGACGGUACCUGACUAAGAAGCCCCGGCUAACUACGUGCCAGCAGCCGCGGUAAUACGUAGGGGGCGAGCGUUAUCCGGAUUUACUGGGUGUAAAGGGAGCGUAGACGGUUUUUCAAGUCUGAAGUGAAAGCCCGCGGCUCAACUGCGGAACGGCUUUGGAAACUGAGGGACUAGAGUGCUGGAGGGGCAG